rnacentral:rRNA from 1 species
AUUGAACGCUGGCGGCAUGCCUUACACAUGCAAGUCGAACGGCAGCAUGGGAGCUUGCUCCUGAUGGCGAGUGGCGAACGGGUGAGUAAUAUAUCGGAACGUGCCCUAGAGUGGGGGAUAACUAGUCGAAAGAUUAGCUAAUACCGCAUACGAUCUACGGAUGAAAGUGGGGGAUCGCAAGACCUCAUGCUCCUGGAGCGGCCGAUAGCUGAUUAGCUAGUUGGUGGGGUAAAAGCCUACCAAGGCGACGAUCAGUAGCUGGUCUGAGAGGACGACCAGCCACACUGGGACUGAGACACGGCCCAGACUCCUACGGGAGUCAGCAGUGGGGAAUUUUGGACAAUGGGGGCAACCCUGAUCCAGCAAUGCCGCGUGAGUGAAGAAGGCCUUCGGGUUGUAAAGCUCUUUUGUCAGGGAAGAAACGGUUCUGGAUAAUACCCAGAGCUAAUGACGGUACCUGAAGAAUAAGCACCGGCUAACUACGUGCCAGCCGCCGCAGUAA